GAUGAACGCUGGCGGCGUGCCUAAUACAUGCAAGUCGAGCGAACGGACGAGAAGCUUGCUUCUCUGAUGUUAGCGGCGGACGGGUGAGUAACACGUGGAUAACCUACCUAUAAGACUGGGAUAACUUCGGGAAACCGGAGCUAAUACCGGAUAAUAUUUUGAACCGCAUGGUUCAAAAGUGAAAGACGGUCUUGCUGUCACUAAUAGAUGGAUCCGCGCUGCAUUAGCUAGUUGGUAAGGUAACGGCUUACCAAGGCAACGAUGCAUAGCCGACCUGAGAGGGUGAUCGCCCACACUGGAACUGAGACACGGUCCAGACUCCUACGGGGGGCAGCGGUAGGGAAUCUUCCGCGAUGGGCGAAAGCCUGACGGAGCAACGCCGCGUGAGUGAUGAAGGUCUUCGGAUCGUAAAACUCUGUUAUUAGGGAAGAACAUAUGUGUAAGUAACUGUGCACAUCUUGACGGUACCUAAUCAGAAAGCCACGGCUAACUACGUG
rnacentral:rRNA from 1 species